GAUGAGAUGUAUGUUAAAAUUUCCCAAAUAUAAUAGUGUUUGGUACAGCUGGCACAGCAAGCUAGAGAGAAGAUAAAUGAUUUUGACUGACACUUGACCAAUAUGUAAUCAGUACCAAGCUAGGGCUGGGUCAGGAUGUCUCUGGUUUGCUGAUUUCUGGGAAACAAUGUUCAAAUCAAGAUAAGAACUAGGUGUAAUCUUCUGUUUGUUGUAAGCCAGGGUAAUAUAUAAUGAACAGACGUGAGCCCAUAAUUCUGGAGCAGUUUGAAUGCUGCAAGACUCUGCUUCCCAGAUCAGAUUGGUGAGCCUCAGGAAUUCACAGCCGUCCAGGACAGUCGGUAGCAAACGUGAUAUAGUUCAACUGCCUGACUGGGGAAUGCUCAGGACCCCUUCACACCACAUCAACAUGGCUAGCUGAGUGGUAGCUCUUUGGUUGGGGGUGUACCGUGUGGUGAAUUCUGCUCCUUUUCUUAAAGGGACAGCAGCUAGCACAACACUUUAUAAACUUCAACUGUUCCUGCA